rnacentral:rRNA from 1 species
AUUCCGGUUGAUCCUGCCGGAGGUCAUUGCUAUCGGGGUCCGAUUUAGCCAUGCUAGUCGCGCGGGUUAGACCCGCGGCGUAUAGCUCAGUAACACGUGGCCAAACUACCCUACAGACGAGAACAACCUCGGGAAACUGAGGCUAACACUCGAUACGCGUUGACCGUUUGAACACGUCGACGCUCAAACGCUCCGGCGCUGUAGGAUGUGGCUGCGGCCGAUUAGGUAGACGGUGGGGUAACGGCCCACCGUGCCGAUAAUCGGUACGGGUUGUGAGAGCAAGAGCCCGGAGACGGAAUCUGAGACAAGAUUCCGGGCCCUACGGGGCGCAGCAGGCGCGAAACCUUUACACUGCACGCCAGUGCGAUAAGGGGACCCCGAGUGAAAGGGCAUAUCGCCCUUUCUUUUCUGAACCGUAGGGAGGUUCAGGAACAAGAGCUGGGCAAGACCGGUGCCAGCCGCCGCGCUAAUACCGGCAGCUCGAGUGAUGACCGAUUUUAUUGGGCCUAAAGCGUCCGUAGCUGGCCGCGCAAGUCCGUCGGGAAAUCCACCCGCUUAACGGGUGGGCGUCCGGCGGAAACUGUGCGGCUUGGGACAGGAAGGCUCGAGGGGUACGUUCGGGGUAGGAGUGAAAUCCCGUAAUCCUGAACGGACCACCGAUGGCGAAAGCACCUCGAGAGGACUGAUCCGACAGUGAGGGACGAAAGCUGGGGUCUCGAACCGGAUUAGAUACCCGGGUAGUCCCAGCCGUAAACGAUGUUCGCUAGGUGUGACACUCACUACGAGUGAGUGUUGUGCCGCAGGGAAGCCGCUAAGCGAACCGCCUGGGAAGUACGUCCGCAAGGAUGAAACUUAAAGGAAUUGGCGGGGGAGCACUACAACCGGAGGAGCCUGCGGUUUAAUUGGACUCAACGCCGGUAACCUUACCAGCCCCGACUACGGUGAUGACGGUCAGGUUGAUGACCUCACCACGAUGCCGU